UACGUAGGUGGCAAGCGUUGUCCGGAUUUACUGGGCGUAAAGAGCGCGCAGGCGGUCGAAUAAGUCGAAUGUGAAAGCCCCCGGCUCAACUGGGGAGGGUCAUUCGAUACUGCUCGACUUGAAGGCAGGAGAGGGUAGUGGAAUUCCCGGUGUAGUGGUGAAAUGCGUAGAUAUCGGGAGGAACACCAGUGGCGAAGGCGACUACCUGGUCCAGCACCGACGUUCAGGCACGAAAGCGUGGGGAGCAAACAGG
rnacentral:rRNA from 1 species